UACGAAGGGGGCUAGCGUUGUUCGGAAUCACUGGGCGUAAAGCGCACGUAGGCGGAUCUUUAAGUCAGGGGUGAAAUCCCAGAGCUCAACUCUGGAACUGCCUUUGAUACUGGGGAUCUCGAGUUCGGGAGAGGUGAGUGGAACUGCGAGUGUAGAGGUGAAAUUCGAAGAUAUUCGCAAGAACACCAGUGGCGAAGGCGGCUCACUGGCCCGAUACUGACGCUGAGGUGCGAAAGCGUGGGGAGCAAACAGG
rnacentral:rRNA from 1 species